CGGCACUGAUGUUCUGUUGUCUCCUCCCGUGAGAUUCUGCUCCUGCUGGUUUGGAGAUGGAUGCUGGGGACGGAUCCCCUCUGGUGCUGCGGUGACUGCUGCUGUAUCAGCUGAGCGAAGUGUGGAGCCUACAUUCCUGUCUUGACAUUGAUUUGCCGGGGGAGAGGAUAGGACUGGCUGUGCACUGACAUCUGACAUCAACAGCAAAAGCAUUCCCUCUCACUGAGACUCAGACGACUCACCGCUGGAGCCGCCUGACGGGGAGGAGAGAGAAAAAAGAAAUAAACGGGGGAACUGUUGCAUGUUUAGCUACUGUAGUUUUCCUCUAGGAUAUCAUUAGCUGUAAUUCUGCCCUUCAAAUGGUAACCAGAUGACAGAGCGCGCACGCACACGCACAUACACGCACAGACUCAUUUUUUCCAAAUUUUGCGCUAAAUGAAAAACGUCUCUUUUGAAGUGUCUACUACCCAAAAAAGAAGAGCAUCGUUGCGUUAAGAGAAACGCUUUCAGAGCCACAGCUGUGCGUGCGACGCAUCAGACGGGUUGGGAGGAGGCGGACGCGAGAGACGUGGAGUUGUCUCUCUGGUUGAAAGGGAGCGCGCCGUGUGUGUGUCUGCGUGUGUGUGUGUGUGUGUGUGCGUGUGUGUGAAUGCGCUAUCUGCAGGUAGCAGCCAGCGUGCAGCAGAUCAAAGGGACGCGUGGGCGGUCCUGGUCCCCAGCCAGGAGACCCCUCACCUCAUG